rnacentral:lncRNA from 1 species
CCGGGUACCAAGGAAGGAAAGCAGGACAUAGCUAGGAGUAAGUUGGACAAAGAGAACUAUCACAUGGAUCUGUUUUCUCAAGCACGUGGCUCAACUGGGAUGGGGACUUCUAGUUUUAUGCAGAAGCAAGUGAAGAUGUCAGAGCAAGGUUAUGGAAAGGGAUAGGGAACUAAAUGCCAUAAUUUCAUCAAUGAAGGGAGCUGAGCACAGCUGUUCACGAAGAUUAAACCCCGGAGUUCAGUCUUGCACCUGAACAGGCAAAGGACACCUCUCCAUGCAGUCCUGCAGUUAUACUGAGGCAUCUUCAUCUAAACAUUUUAAUGCA